CUCACAAAUAAAAACAGUAGCUAUCUGUUGAAACGUAUCUGUGACUGGGGGUCUUUAUACAACAAGGAGGCACACAGAGGGUGAGGGUGAGGAGGCACACAGGGGGUGAUGGUGAGGAGGCACACAGAGGGUGAGGGUGAGGAGGCACACAGAGGGUGAGGAGGCACACAGAGGGUGAGGGUGAGGAGGCACACAGAGGGUGAGGGUGAGGAGGCACACAGAGGGUGAGGGUGAGGAGACACACAGAGGCACACAGAGGGUGAGGGUGAGGAGGCACACAGAGGGUGAGGGUGAGAAGGCACACAGAGGCACACAGAGGGUGAGGGUGAGAAGGCACACAGAGGGUGAGGGUGAGGAGGCACACAGAGGGUGAGGGUGAG
ensembl:lncRNA